GAGAAAAGCAAGGUUCUAAAUCUAGAAUCUUCCAACUUUGUUAUCAGUGCAAGACUGCCACAGUAAAAAGUGAGGCAAUAACACAUUUAGGUAUGAGUACAUAGUAGCUGCAAAUCAUAAUUACUUCAUAUAUAUUCCUUACAUUUGAAAAACUCAAAUAUAUUUUUCAUAUCCUCAAUUCUGAAUAUAUGUUUAAUGAGUACCUUAUUAGAAAUAUUAAAAAAAUUUGAAGACAUACUUUGAAUUUCAAUGAUCUUC
rnacentral:lncRNA from 1 species